GCCCCCAUCGUCUAGCGGCCUAGGAUAUCGCCCUUUCAAGGCGGUGACGCGGAUUCGAAUUCCGCUGGGGGCACCA
rnacentral:tRNA from 1 species